rnacentral:lncRNA from 1 species
GUUUUCAUGCAACCUCUAAAACGUAUAAAUGUCCAUAUGCAUCUUAACAAUUAGAAUUAAACAUCUACAUGUCUGAAAAUUUCUGGAUUCUAUACAGGAUCCGCUCCAGGAGAACUACAGAUUUUAUGGACUCCACAUCGAAUUUGAAGGUUCACAACAAAAUGAUUAUUGCAUCGAAUUUGAAGGUUCACAACAGAUUUUAUGGAUCCGCUGAUUUUGCUUUCCAUUCAGGCCUUCUUCUAAGUUCUACAAGACUAAUCAAUCUACCUAGACAGAAACAAAAUACUGAUUAAUCACCAGAGAAACUUAGAAUUGUGGCAAACAAACACAUGCAAAAAGUUGAAUAAGAGAAUUCCCAUAAAGGUAAGAUAGAAAUUUCCUGUUCGUUGACUAGAAAAGCACACAUUAAACCCAUAUACGAGUUUCAGAAAAUCAUCAACCAAUAUUCAAUUCAAACUACCACCAAAAUAAGCAAACCGCCAGACCAACGAUUCAGUACAUCAGAGUGUAAAUUGCAAAGAGAGACAUCAAAACGAAAGCCGAGAACGCUACACAAUCAAAAACCCUCGAGCAAAAUUGGAUCUUUAGAGAGAGAAAAGAGGGAUUGAGGAAAUCGGAGUAGGUGAGGUCGGCAGAGAGAAGGAGAGGCGAAAGAGGCACCUCCACCACGGCGAUGCACUCAAGAAGACGAAGAAGGACCAAUUUAUUGGAAACAAAUUCAUUAUAAAAUAGCAAAUUCAACAUAAAACACCAUUUCGAACAAAAUACAAAAAUACAAUAAUUCAGAAACUAUUUUUCCGAAAAUACAAUAAUUCAGAAACUAUUUUUCCGACUCACCAUCAUGUUCCCGUUGAAAAAUCCGGCGCAAAUAUCGAGAGCCCUUGGCCGAAACAGUGAUCCCCUCACCGAAACUCUCAGGCACUUUUUUUAUACGCCAUCGUUCUUGAAUCUGAAAAUAUAUUCGGAUUCAGCGUCAAAUUCGCCGUUGAACAAUGUUGCUCUCGGCCAAAAUUUCUGGACGUAUCUUAGACACGGAUACAAUUUCUUCUUUGGGUGGAAAUUUCUGCAAUUUUUUCCUCGGGCGCCCAGCCAAACCAUGGUUACCUUCUUUUUUUCUNNUUUUUUUACAUUACUG